AGAAUGGACGCGGAAGCUGAUUUAGCAUCUCUCAGAUCCAGGCGCUCUAUGGUUGCAUCUCUGUAAUAGGAGGACGGAGAUUAAUAAGAGACACACUGCGCCUGUUUAAGGAUUCCUCCUUGUCGUGAGCCCUAGGGUUGCAUCUCUGUUUUAGGAGCCUGGAGACCAGUAAGGGACACACUGAAGCUGAUUGUAAUACUCUUCCAAGGGCGUGAGCUCUCUCAAUGCGUCUCUGUGCUAGGAGCAUGUGGACCAACAACAGAUGCUCGAGCUGAUUUCAUCUUCUAUCGUGAUCAAGAUUGUCAUGUUCCCUUUGUGUUAGGAAAGAUACUAAGAAUGGACACACUCAGGCUGAGUAAGCAGUAUUCCAUGGUGUCGAGUUUAUGAUUGCACCUUUGCGUUAGGAGCACAGAGACCAAUAGUGGACGCCCUGGACCUGAUUUAAGGAUUCUUUCCGGAUCACAAGCCCUAGGGCUGCUUCCCAGUUCUAGGAGCCUAGAGAGCAAGAAUGGAUGACUUGAGCUGAUUCUAACGUUCUUCCAAGAUCGCCAGCUCUCUGAAUGCAUCUCUGUUGUAG